AUUGAACGCUGACGGCAGGCCUAACACAUGAAAGUAGAGCGAGCGGCGGACGGGUGAGUAAUGUAUGGGGAUCUGCAUGAUGGCGGGGGAUAACUACUGGAAAGGGUAGAUAAUACCGAAUACCAUCAGAUGAAAACAUAUGGGAUUAGCUAGUAGGUAAGGUAACGGAUUACCUAGGCGACGAUCCCUAGCUGGUCUGAGAGGAUGAUCAGUCACACUGGGACUGUGAGACGUCCCAUGUUCCUACGGGAUGCAGCAGUGGGUAAUAUUGCACAAUGGGCGCAAGCCUGAUGCAGGCAUGCCGCGUGUAUGAAGAAGGCCUUCGUGUUGUAAAGUACUUUCAGUCGGGAGGCGUUACCGACAGAAGAAGCACCGGCUAACUCCGUGCCAGCAGCCGCGGUAAUUC
rnacentral:rRNA from 1 species